rnacentral:lncRNA from 1 species
CCACCCACAUGAAAAUCAAUUUGACCCACUAUCUCUUUGACAAAGAAAUGAAUUUGACCAACUGCUCAUGUUUGGCAUAAAUCUAAAUCGUGAGUUCUAUCCGAAUGGAAGAAUGGUUAAAAAAAAAAUUUAACUGUACGUUUGUUCAAAAUGUAAGCAUAGAAUAGCUUAAAAAUAAAAGUAUAGUUCGAUUUUACCUGAAAUAGCUAAAAUGAAAUCACUCCAGUCCAAAAUUAUCCAUAAAACAAAAAACAAAAUCAC